AUGUAAUAUAAUUCCUAUAGCAUUAAUGCAUUUAAACCCAUUAAAAAUCCACAGUUAAGCAUGUUUGGGCUAAAGUAGUACUAGGAUGGGUGACCUCUCGGGAAGUUCUAGUGUUUUACACU
rnacentral:rRNA from 1 species